AACGAACGCUGGCGGCAUGCCUAACACAUGCAAGUCGAACGAGACCUUCGGGUCUAGUGGCGCACGGGUGCGUAACGCGUGGGAACCUGCCCUUAGGUUUGGAAUAACUCCCCGAAAGGGGUGCUAAUACCGGAUAAUGUCUUCGGACCAAAGAUUUAUCGCCUUUGGAUGGGCCCGCGUUGGAUUAGCUAGUUGGUAGGGUAAAAGCCUACCAAGGCGACGAUCCAUAGCUGGUCUGAGAGGAUGAUCAGCGACACUGGGACUGAGACACGGCCCAGACUCCUACGCGAGGCAGCAGUGGGGAAUAUUGGACAAUGGGCGAAAGCCUGAUCCAGCAAUGCCGCGUGAGUGAUGAAGGCCUUAGGGUUGUAAAGCUCUUUUACCCGGGAUGAUAAUGACAGUACCGGGAGAAUAAGCUCCGGCUAACUCCGUG
rnacentral:rRNA from 1 species